AUUAGGGUUUGAUCCUGGCUCAGAACGAACGUUAGCGGUGUGGAUUAGGCAUGCAAGUCGUGCGCGAAAGCCUUCGGGCGAGUAAAGCGGCGAAAGGGUGAGUAACACGUAACCAACGUACCCUUCAGAUCGGGAUAACCUCUGGAAACGGUGGAUAAUACCGAAUGGUCCCGCGAGAGACAUCUCUCGUGAGGUAAACGGCGGCUUCGGCUGCUGCUGAGGGAGCGGGUUGCGGCCUAUCAGCUUGUUGGUGGGGUAACGGCCUACCAAGGCUUCGACGGGUAGCGGGUCUGAGAGGAUGAUCCGUCACACUGGGACUGAGACACUGCCCAGACUCCUACGGGAGGCUGCAGUCGAGAAUCUUCCGCAAUGGGCGAAAGCCUGACGGAGCGACACCGCGUGCAGGAUGAAGGCCUUCGGGUUGUAAACUGCUGUCACGCAAUAGGAAUCCCGACUGGUUAAUAGCCAGGCGGUUGACCAAAGCGAGAGGAAGUGCCGGCUAACUCCGUGCCAGCAGCCGCGGUAAGACGGAGGGCACAAACGUUGUUCGGAAUCACUGGGCAUAAAGAGCACGUAGGCGGCCUGCUAAGUCGAAUGUGAAAUCCCUCGGCUCAACCGGGGAACUGCAUUCGAUACUGGCAGGCUCGAGGAUGGCAGGGGUAAGUGGAACUCCAGGUGGAACGGUGAAAUGUGUAGAUAUCUGGAGGAACACCGGUGGCGAAAGCGGCUUACUGGGCCAUCUCUGACGCUGAGGUGCGAAAGCUAGGGUAGCAAACGGGAUUAGAUACCCCGGUAGUCCUAGCCGUAAACGAUGGGCACUAGGCAAUGGAGAUUAUGGUACUCUCUGCCGUAGCUAAUGUGUUAAGUGCCCCGCCUGGGGAGUACGCUCGCAAGGGUAAAACUCAAAGGAAUUGACGGGGGAUCACACAAGCGGUGGAGCAUGUGGUUUAAUUCGAAGCAACGCGAAGAACCUUAUCCUGGGCUUGACAUGCUUGGAUGCUCAUCUGGAAACAGAGUAGGCUGCCUUUCGGGGUGAAACUUGCACAGGUGCUGCAUGGCUGUCGUCAGCUCGUGUCGUGAGAUGUUGGGUUAAGUCCCGUAACGAGCGAAACCCUUGUCGUUAGUUGCCAGCGGGUUAUGCCGGGGACUCUAGCGAGACUGCCGGUGUUAAACCGGAGGAAGGUGGGGAUGACGUCAAGUCCUCAUGGCCUUUAUGCCCAGGGCCGCAAACGUGCUACAAUGGCUGGUACAAACCGACGCAAGACCGCGAGGUGGAGCAAAUCGGAAAAAGCCAGCCCCAGUUCGGAUUGUAGUCUGCAACUCGACUACAUGAAGGUGGAAUCGCUAGUAAUCGCAGAUCAGCUAUGCUGCGGUGAAUGUGUUCCUGAGCCUUGUACACACCGCCCGU
rnacentral:rRNA from 1 species